rnacentral:misc_RNA from 1 species
ACAAAAAGUGAUAAGAUUAUUAUAAUGAAAGUGUAUACUGACAUUAUAAUAGUUUUAUUCAUGUUCUAUAAACAAACACCUUCACGUGGUAUAGAAUGAACAAUGUAUUGGAAUAGUACAUUGACUAAGAUUUGUAAUGUAAGAAUUGUGAAUGUUAAAAAUGAUGUGUUUUAAUAUGUAGGGAAAUAUAUUAAAAGAAAUCAUUUAAAUGUGGUUUAAACUUUUGUGGUAAAUAUUUUUAGUUAAAAAUUUUGUUUUAGAUGUAUAAUAUAAAAUUAUAUAACUAAUAAACACUUCCUAU